rnacentral:rRNA from 1 species
GACGAACGCUGGCGGCGUGCCUAAUACAUGCAAGUCGAACGCAGUGGGGACGGGUGAGUAACACGUGGGUAACCUGCCCAUCAGAGGGGAUAACACUUGGAAAAAGGUGCUAAACCGAUACUGAUGGAUAGACCGGCGGUGCAUUAACUAGUUGGGGGGGUAACGGCUCACCAAGGCCACGAUGCAUAGCCGGCCUGAGAGGUUGAUCUGCCACACUGGGACUGAGACACGGCCCAGACUCCUACGGGAGGCAGCAGUAGGGAAUAUUCGGCAAUGGGCGAAAGUCUGACCGAGCAACGCCGCGUGAGUGAAGAAGGUUUUCGGAUCGUAAAACUCUGUUGUUAGAGAAGCGGUAUCUAACCAGAAAGCCACGGCUAACUACGUGCCAGCAGCCGCGGUAAUUC